GGGGAAUAUUGCACAAUGGGCGAAAGCCUGAUGCAGCAACGCCGCGUGAGGGAUGAAGGUUUUCGGAUCGUAAACCUCUGUCAGAAGGGAAGAAACUACGUUGUGCUAAUCAGCAGCGUACUGACGGUACCUUCAAAGGAAGCACCGGCUAACUCCGUGCCAGCAGCCGCGGUAAUACGGAGGGUGCAAGCGUUAAUCGGAAUUACUGGGCGUAAAGCGCACGUAGGCUGUAGUGUAAGUCAGGAGUGAAAUCCCACGGCUCAACCGUGGAACUGCCUUUGAUAAUGCACAACUUGAAUCCGGGAGAGGGUGGCGGAAUUCCAGGUGUAGGAGUGAAAUCCGUAGAUAUCUGGAGGAACAUCAGUGGCGAAGGCGGCCACCUGGACCGGUAUUGACGCUGAGGUGCGAAAGCGUGGGGAGCAAAC
rnacentral:rRNA from 1 species